AAACCUUCUCUGGAUGGCACAUGGGCCUCUUGACAAUUUCUAUUUGCAAAUGAGCCAAAGAAGCUGGGGUCAGAAACAGAUCCAACUGCUUGCUCAGUGACUGUGUCGGGAUUUCUUCAGCACGCAUACUGUGGUGAUGAGAUUCAUACUCCAGACCUAGACACUGGCACGCUUGUGACCUAUGGAUCCAGUUUUUAAGGUGAAAAUUUAGGACUGGCCUCAUCUAUGAGUUCCAGAACUAUGCUGACUUUUCAUUUGAUCUGAACUUCUCUUGUGACACAUCACUUCCAAAUUAACCUUUGGGAGCUGUGUCUUCUCCAGCUACCCCAGCUUGGAGGGUGGCAUUGUAAAGCAGCUGCUUAGGACGCCCACAUCGCAUAUCCGAGGGCCAGUUUGUGUCCUGGCUCCUCCAUUUCUGAUCUGACUUCCCGCUGCUGCUCCUGAGAAGGCAGUAGAUGAGGACCCAAGUACUUGACUUCCUGCUACCAUGUGGGAGACCCGGAUGGAGUUCCUGGCAUCCAGCUUUCACCUGACUCAAUCCUGCCUGCUGUAUGCAUCUGGGGGAAGGGAGGAAGAGCAUACCAGCAAAUGUUCUUAUCCUUUGUAGAUUCCAGGAGGAAACAGAAGUUCCCUUCAUCCCUAGCCCAAGUAUAAAAUCAUCUUCUUCCAGCCAAGUUUCAAGUAAAUUACAAGAGGUGCUUGCCUAGGCCAAGUUCAAAUACCAGCGUUUAAGAGAUGCUGCCUGCCAAUCUGCCCACCUUCAACAAGUUUGUUCAAUGAAGAUGUAAGUGCAGCUUCCUGAAGCCUCAGGGAAGGAACAGAAAAGGCACUUCUCAGCAGGUUUAUAGAUAUCGCUUUGAUGAUCACCUCUGUACCUGCAUAUGUAACGCCGUUUCUCUACAGAGUACGCAGUAAUUCACCUAGGGCACUCGGAGGUUCCUAAGACCUCAUUAGCUGGAUGAUGUAAAUAUAUAACCACCACAUUCACACAAAUAUCCUUGACUUAUUCUAAUCAUUUAUAAGAUUGGAACAUCUAACUUGAGUGAAAUAUUGUUUCCUUUUUUUUUUUUAAAUUAAGGUUUAUGUAUUUAUUUGUUGGAAAUGUGGGGUGACAGAGAGAGCUGUAGAGAGAGUGAGAGAGAGACCUUGUAUCCACUAGUUCACUCCCCAAAUGCCUGCAGGGCCCGAGUUAGGCUGGAGCCAAGAUCCCAGAACUCCAUCUGGGACUGCCUUGGGGAUGGCAGGAAGUCCAAUACUUGGGCCAUCAUCCAUCAUCCUCUGCUUCCCAGGCACACUAUCAGGGAGCUCAACUGGAAGCAGGGUAGCCAGGACUUGAACCGGCACUCCAGUGUGGGAGAUGGGUGUCCCAAGUGGUGGCUUGAGCUGCUGUAACUCAUUGCCAGCCCCAUCACUGACCAACGUUUCUUACUUCUCCCUGAUGAUUAGCUCUUGGGGAUGUCUUCAAAACACCCAUAUUAGGUCUUAUUCCUAAAGUUUGAUUUGUUUGGAUUGGGAUAGAAUUCUGGAACCGGUGUUUUUUAAAAGCUCUCAAAUAAUUCUAAUGCACUCCCAAGGUUUAGAAUUAUUGAGUAAAACAAAUGUUUAUGAUUCUCUAUGCCAAAUUUUGUGCAUGGUUCUUGAAGUGAAAAGGAGAAAAACUUUAAUAUAUAAGAAUCAAGAGACAGAUUUAGAUAGGGAAAUUGAAGAAAGCUGUGAAUAGGUGGAGUCUCUCCUGCUAGCACUGACUGGAAGUCAGAUUAUACACCGAGAAGUUAAGCUGAGGUCCGAGAUGAAGCAUUUUCAGUGGUAAUUUUCUACUAGUUGCCAAAAGCAGCUCAAGCAGAGAAAAAGCAGCUGGAGUGUGGAAUAAGCAAGGCUCAAGCAGUCUGCCAAGGUCAUAGGCUUAGCAGAUAAGAAAUAUUUCUACAGAUGUUUGCUUUAUUAAAGGUCUUGGUGCAAAAGCUUUUUUAAGCAUUUGAAAAUGAGAUUUGAUGUAGGUGAGAACGAAAAUUACAAAACAGGGCUUAAAAACAGAAGGAAUUGAGGGACGAUAAAUUGAAGAACUUAAUGAGAAUUGUAAAAUAAAAAUAAAAAGAAGGAUGGGAUGAAAUAUUGAGAAAAAUGGGAAUAUUUAAAUCUAAGAAUGAAUGCAUGAAAUAUUUCUGGGUGAGAUUUUAUCAAAUGGUCAUGAAUAGUAGAUUGGGAGACCAAUAAUAUCUACUAGAGUUCCUGAAGUCAAGAAUUAGGAAAAUCAGCAGUGUAAAGAAAAUCCACAAGGAUUUCCCAAAGGAAAAAUCAAUCUGUAAAUCAUUGUCAAGUUCUGUUAACAAGCAAAAGUGAUCUGGAAGCCCAUGAAUGUCCAUAAUAUUUGGAAGGAGUUAGAGGUGAGAAUUUCAAAAAAUUUCCACUUGUAAAAACUUGUUCAGGAAAUGCUUUUCAAAUUCCCACCACCUAUGUCCACUCUGGGUUCUCUGUUGAGUAGAAGAGAGAUGGUAAGAUGAAAACAAUCUAGGGAAGCAAGCAAGGCACAGGGCAUACAAGGCCAGGGCAAAGAAUUUUUUUUUAUGUCUUCUGACCUAGUGAAUGAGAUGCUAAUCAAAGACACUGAAAAAGAGAGACAUCAGUGUCCAAAAAAAUGCCUUAGAAUAUCUUCCCACAGCUGUAUAUAGACAAGAUUGAGAGUGACAAGAAUAGAGGUAGAGAGAAUUGGGAAAUUAGCCCAGUCAUUCGGGAGAGAGGUAAAGCUUAAACAAAAAAUGGUAGUUACGGCCUUGGAGAAAAGUUGAGAGGUAAAUCGCCAGUAGCACAGGUAGACCUGCCUGUCUCUAUCUGAAAGAUGGAGCGCUGUGCUGGGGAUUAUUUGCAGGCUUUUGGCAUCUGCACCUCGGCACAUAGGGAAACAAUGUACUGAGAUGAAAAUGUUAGAUUGGCCAUGACUGAGUAAGAUCAACAGGUCAGUUUUAGCCACAUUAAGUGCUAGAUAAGUGGGAGAGAGAUAGAGAGACAGAGAGAGAAAGAGAGAGAGAGAGGGAGAAGAGAUGUCAAAUAGACAGCUGGUUCUAUCAGUGUUUAACUCAGAAGAAGAACCUUCUAGUGUCUCUGCAUCUUAAGAAUGCACGUCUUUUUCAAAGGUAUCUUGGAAGAAGUUGAAACAUGUUUAUAUUUUCUUUGGUAUUUAGGCAGCAAGCCUAUUUCCACAGUCGUUAUCAACAAUCGAGUUUUAAUUAGCAUGUUAAUGUUCCAAGUUGUACCUUUGAAGACAGUCACAACCAAACUGAACACAACUAUGAUUAAUACAGUACACUAAACAGUCAUGAUCUCCAGCUAACAAAAUAAGCCAGUAACCAGUCUGGCACGCCGUCCAGAUCACUCAGCCUGCCAGAUGAGAAGCUGCAUAUCUACUUUGGGUAUUUUUUGGUGAAAUUUCUUGCAGGACCAGGCCACCUGGUUUGCCACAUUGGAUAACAAUUGACUACAGUCUAAGAGGAAUUUCAUCAGUUAGAAGCAGAAGUCAUUCUGACUUCCAAAAUGAAAUUUUUUGCUAGUUAAGGAAAUAAAAAUCACUGAUAGUACAAAGAAUAUUUUUUAGUGUUUGCAUUAUUUACCACACUGUUCUGCACAUAGCAACAUGGUCACAAUUACUUGAAUCAACUCAAAGAGGAAAUUCUUAGGAAGAACACUUUUUUCUUUUUUCUUGUACAAUAUCCCACCUAAGAAAAGGCAAAACAAAAGAAAACAAGGGCAAUUAGGAAUUUUUAGAAUUCUAUGUAUGUCAUAUAGCCCUUCCUUAAUCAUCACAGUGGCACUGCCUUGUAUAUUAAAAAUACAUUUCUGUGGGGCCAGUGCUGUGGCAUAGCAGGUGAAACCACCACCUGCAGUGCCAGCAUCCCAUAUGAGCACCAAUUUGAGUACCAGCUGCUCCACUUCCAAUCCAGCUCUCUGCUAUGGCCUGGGACAGCAGCAGCAGAUGGCCCGAAUCCUUGGGCUCCUGUGCCCAUGUAGGAGACCCAGAAGAAGCUCCUGGCUCCUGGCUUCGGAUCAGCCCAGCUCGGGCCAUUGUGGCCAUCUGGGGAGGAAACACUGAACAGUGAAUGGAAGACACCCCCCCCCACCUCUGCCUCUCUAUAACUCUGCCUUUCAAAUAAAUAAAUAAAUCUUUUAAUAAAAUACAUUUCUAGUGCUUUCAGUGACUAAACAUUUCAGGUCAGAAAUACUAAACUCAUGCUAUACCAAAAUCUGAGAUUUGAAAAGAGACUCAUCAGUGUAUAUUGUAUUUGGGAAACAAAGCUCUGUACAGAUGGAAUUACUCUCUGCUUUGUAAACAUGCUGUCAUCUGAAAAACUCUGCCAUACCCUGUGGUUCUCUUGCUUCUCCAACUCUAAGUGAUAAAAUCUUAUUGCUUGUCAAGGCCAAGUUCAAGAGUUAUAUUCACCCCGGAGCCUUUCCUGUUCUUCAUAGAUAAACUGUCUCAUCAUCCUUGCUCUGGUACCAUGUGUUAAACACCUACAUUAUGAUGUUUGUGUGUAUAUUUCUCUGAGUUAUAAUGAGAAAACUAGAGAUUGCAGUAAGACUUCUUAAAUCAGAAUAGUUGCUGAUAAGGAAAUACUUAAUUCUUUAACAAAAAGUAUACUUUUACUGAAUGGUGUUGAGGAAUCUCACAGAAACAAAGCCCAGAAUAUUGAAAUGGGACUUACAAACAUUGGAGAUUUGUCAAUAAACACCCACUUUGCCCUCUCUUCAUGAUGUACAUGGUCCCCUCCUUGUCCCCUCCAUCAGUUCAGUUAUUUCAGUUAUGUGGCAGACAUGAUUUUCCUGCAAACUCAUACACUUACAUACAAAUCUCCAUUUUCCAUUAUGGGAGAAACAAUUUGUGAUGUUGACCAUUUUAGGCAUGACAUUCCAGAAAAAAAAUCCAUCAAUCCCAUUAGUAAUACUGAUUCAACUAAAAUUUUGGUGAUUUUAAAGUUUUUAUUUACUUUUUUUUGCUUUAUUUAAAAGGGGGAGAGACAGGGAAAGAGAUAGACAGAAAGACAGAAAGCCUUCCUACUGCUGGUUCAUUCCCCAGCUGCCCACCAUGACCAGGACUGGGCCAGGCCAAAGUCAGGAGCCUGGAAAUCAAUUGGGGUAGCCCCUGUGGAUGCUGGGAAUCCAGGGGUGCUUUUAGCAGGAACCUAGAAGCAGAAGUGGGGACAGAACUGGAACUCAGGCACUCCAAUAUGAGAAACAAACAUCUCACAUGGCAAUUUAGAUGUUGCAUUAAUCACCUGCUUCCCCAAUAAAAAUUUUUAGAGGACGGAUGCAAAUGGUAAGGGACUGUGAUACAAAAUUUACUCUUUGAAGGAGAAUUUAAUGGAAACUAAACCUUACAGUUUCCUUCUAUAGAAGUGAAAUGUCUGACUGGAGAAAAGAGCUGCCCACUGUUUUUUAUGUUGACAAAGCAUUUUCAAAAAGUUUAUGGAAAAUGCCAUUAUGAAAACACUAUGCACAGUUUUAAAAAAUUUUUUGCAUCUGUGGGACUGCAAAUCCCCUUUGGCUGGGUGGCAAAAAUACCAUCUUAAAUGUUAUAGUGAUGAAAUGGAUAGGAUUAAAAGUCUGUUAAUAAUACUAGAUAGAAUCAAAAAGGAGGGAAUGCUCCAACAUGGGAAGCAGUCCACACAACUGACUCAUAGAUUGACAAUCACUUUAAAUAGCACUCUGACCUCAGAAUUGGCCCAUAAGGCAUUCUGGUCUGGCUGAAAAGCCCAGGAGAGCAUUGCAGGCAUGGAAAGCCAAGACAUUGUGGCAAAAAAUAUCCUACAUGAAGGAUCUCAGUGGGUGAGACCCCAGUGGAAAGAAGUGGUCAUCAAAGAAGGAGGUAAUUUUCUCUGAAGGGAGGAGAGAACUUCCAUUUUGCUUAUGGGCUUAUCUAAAUACUGACAGAGUUUGUGGACUCAAAAGGCUAACAUAGCCUUGGCAGCUCAUGUCAAGAGCCUCACGUAAUCACUGACAUCAUAUAUAAGAGUGUUAAUUAUUAAAUUAGCAACAAGAGUCACUGUGCACUAGCUUCCCAUGCAGGACUUCUGUCCUCAAAGGGUUGUAUUAUAAUUAUGUCUAAGUGCUCACAAAAGAUGUAUCAUUCUUGGGUGUUCCUUUAAAUUUAAUUAAGUUUCUUAAAAAAAGCGAAAUUAUCUUCAAUAUGCAAUGACUUUGAAUAGCCCUUGUCUCAACUUUGAGAAACUGUUUUAAUUUUUUUUUGCGUACAAAUUAUUGAACUCUUUAAUUAGUAUAGAGUUGGUCUUCUGUGUAUCACAUUAAUUGAAAAUGGAUAUUAUUGUAGAAUGUGACUGGGAAUGAGAG